rnacentral:rRNA from 1 species
CAGGCUUAACACAUGCAAGUCGAGGGGCAGCACAGGUAGCAAUACCGGGUGGCGACCGGCGCACGGGUGAGUAACGCGUAUGCAACUUACCUAUCAGAGGGGGAUAACCCGGCGAAAGUCGGACUAAUACCGCAUGAAGCAGGGGCCCCGCAUGGGGAUAUUUGCUAAAGAUUCAUCGCUGAUAGAUAGGCAUGCGUUCCAUUAGGCAGUUGGCGGGGUAACGGCCCACCAAACCGACGAUGGAUAGGGGUUCUGAGAGGAAGGUCCCCCACAUUGGUACUGAGACACGGACCAAACUCCUACGGGAGGCAGCAGUGAGGAAUAUUGGUCAAUGGCCGAGAGGCUGAACCAGCCAAGUCGCGUGAGAGAUGAAGGUUCUAUGGAUCGUAAACCUCUUUUAUAAGGGAAUAAAGUGCGGGACGUGUCCCGUUUUGUAUGUACCUUAUGAAUAAGGAUCGGCUAACUCCGUGCCAGCAGCCGCGGUAAUACGGAGGAUCCGAGCGUUAUCCGGAUUUAUUGGGUUUAAAGGGUGUGUAGGCGGCCUUUUAAGUCAGCGGUGAAAGUCUGUGGCUCAACCAUAGAAUUGCCGUUGAAACUGGGGGGCUUGAGUAUGUUUGAGGCAGGCGGAAUGCGUGGUGUAGCGGUGAAAUGCAUAGAUAUCACGCAGAACCCCGAUUGCGAAGGCAGCCUGCCAAGCCAUGACUGACGCUGAUGCACGAAAGCGUGGGGAUCAAACAGGAUUAGAUACCCUGGUAGUCCACGCAGUAAACGAUGAUCACUAGCUGUUUGCGAUACACUGUAAGCGGCACAGCGAAAGCGUUAAGUGAUCCACCUGGGGAGUACGCCGGCAACGGUGAAACUCAAAGGAAUUGACGGGGGCCCGCACAAGCGGAGGAACAUGUGGUUUAAUUCGAUGAUACGCGAGGAACCUUACCCGGGUUUGAACGCAUUCGGACCGAGGUGGAAACACCUUUUCUAGCAAUAGCCGUUUGCGAGGUGCUGCAUGGUUGUCGUCAGCUCGUGCCGUGAGGUGUCGGCUUAAGUGCCAUAACGAGCGCAACCCUUGCCACUAGUUACUAACAGGUGAUGCUGAGGACUCUGGUGGGACUGCCAGCGUAAGCUGCGAGGAAGGCGGGGAUGACGUCAAAUCAGCACGGCCCUUACAUCCGGGGCGACACACGUGUUACAAUGGCGUGGACAAAGGGAGGCCACCUGGCGACAGGGAGCGAAUCCCCAAACCACGUCUCAGUUCGGAUCGGAGUCUGCAACCCGACUCCGUGAAGCUGGAUUCGCUAGUAAUCGCGCAUCAGCCAUGGCGCGGUGAAUACGUUCCCGGGCCUUGUACACACCGCCCGUCAAGCCAUGGGAGCCGGGGGUACCUGAAGUCCGUAACCGCGAGGAUCGGCCUAGGGUAAAACUGGUGACUGGGGCUAAGUC